AGACCCGAAACCCGGUGAUCUAGCCAUGGGCAGGUUGAAGGUUGGGUAACACUAACUGGAGGACCGAACCGACUAAUGUUGAAAAAUUAGCGGAUGACUUGUGGCUGGGGGUGAAAGGCCAAUCAAACCGGGAGAUAGCUGGUUCUCCCCGAAAGCUAUUUAGGUAGCGCCUCGUGAAUUCAUCUCCGGGGGUAGAGCACUGUUUCGGCAAGGGGGUCAUCCCGACUUACCAACCCGAUGCAAACUGCGAAUACCGGAGAAUGUUAUCACGGGAGACACACGGCGGGUGCUAACGUCCGUCGUGAAGAGGGAAACAACCCAGACCGCCAGCUAAGGUCCCAAAGUCAUGGUUAAGUGGGAAACGAUGUGGGAAGGCCCAGACAGCCAGGAUGUUGGCUUAGAAGCAGCCAUCAUUUAAAGAAAGCGUAAUAGCUCACUGGUCGAGUCGGCCUGCGCGGAAGAUGUAACGGGGCUAAACCAUGCACCGAAGCUGCGGCAGCGACACUGUGUGUUGUUGGGUAGGGGAGCGUUCUGUAAGCCUGUGAAGGUGUGCUGUGAGGCAUGCUGGAGGUAUCAGAA
rnacentral:rRNA from 1 species